rnacentral:sRNA from 1 species
AGCAGCCGCGGUAAUUCCAGCUCCAAUAGCGUAUAUUAAAGUUGUUGCAGUUAAAAAGCUCGUAGUUGAAUUUCGGGAUCAGUAUGUUGGUCGUGCUUCGGUACGUACUGUCAUUACUGGUUUCUACCUUCUGAAGAACCAUGAUGUCAUUAAUUUGGCGUCGUGGGGAAUCAGGACUGUUACUUUGAAAAAAUUAGAGUGUUUAAAGCAGGCUCGCGCUUGAAUACAUUAGCAUGGAAUAAUGAAAUAGGACGUUUGAUUCUAUUUUGUUGGUUUCUAGGAUCGACGUAAUGAUUAAUAGGGAUAGUUGGGGGCAUUAGUAUUCAAUUGUCAGAGGUGAAAUUCUUGGAUUUAUUGAAGACUAACUACUGCGAAAGCAUUUGCCAAGGAUGUUUUCAUUAAUCAAGAACGAAAGUUAGGGGAUCGAAGACGAUCAGAUACCGUCGUAGUCUUAACCAUAAACUAUGCCGACUAGGGAUCGGAUGAUGUUAUUUUUAAUGACUCAUUCGGCGCCUUAAC